GGUCAAACAUCAGAUUACCAGUGCUGGUUUCUGCUUGUCAAACAGCUGCAUACAGAUGUUGUCUUCUGACUGAGACUCAUCAGAGCUUCAGUAUUAAAGUGGUUGUGCUGGUGGAAAGUCAGGUGACUAUGAUGGCGUCGGGGGCACCAUUGACUCGGACCAAGAACACGCCUCCUAUGACCCACAGUGGCUCUGACCGUCCGCCAGCUCGUGUCAGAGCGGUUUCAAACCUGCUGCCAGGCUGAGAGACGGCGGUCAGUCAGUGAAAACAUCACAGUGAAAGAGGAAGUGGAACAGGAAGUGACAGGGAGGGGUGGUCGUGUCAUACAGGAGCAAAACAGACAGAAGAGGAUUUGUGUGAGGCACUCGAAGGCAGCAGGUUCAUCAUGGGUCUCCCAACUCACCGUCAGUGCAGCAUCGAGAUCCAGAACAAGACCACGACGUUCACCCUGUGCAACCCACGCUUUUCCUGCACCACCCCUUCUCCCCACCGCUCCACCACCCAUUUCCCAUUUUGGGUCAGAUACGUUAAAUAAUGUCUGAGAAUGGCUAAUUAAAAUAUAGAAAACAGUUCCAUACUCUUUCCCAAACCAGCAGAGG
ensembl:lncRNA